AUGGCCUCGCCGCACGCCGACCCGCAGCAGCAGCACCACGCGUCGGCGCCGCCGCUCCUGCUCGCCGUACUCCGCGUUCCGUUCCCGGGGGCCCAGCGCCCGCGCGCGCUCCCCGCCCCGGACCUCGCCCCUCUCGCGCGCCGCCUCGACGAGCUCGCCGCCGCGGCGGCCGCCCACCCGCUCCUGAGGCCGCUCUUCGACCUCCGCCACCACCUCUCCACCUUCUCCCAGGUACGCAAACGUCCACGCCCCAGUGGGGCUUCCCGAUGCGAGGAGCAGAGCGGGAGGCAGAGGAUGGUGGCGAUGCGGCAGGCGGCGUGCCCGCUGGCCGGCGGCGAGGGCUGCUUCGCGGCGGUGCUGGGCGGGUCCGUGGCCGGCAUGGUGGUGUCCAACGGCGUCAACAGCUUCCUCAGCCUCUACAACACCGUGCUCGUCAUCCGGCUCGUGCUCACCUGGUUCCCCAACACGCCGCCCGCGAUCGUCUCGCCCCUCAGCACGGUCCUCGCCUUCCUGGUGCUCAACGCCCUCACCGGCACCGCCGCCGCGCUCCCGGCCGAGCUCCCUGCCCAAACCGGCUCGGUGCGCCCUGACGAGCUCACCGCCAACCAGAGGAAGUGGAUGAGGAGAUUCCGCCCGGGGAAAUCGCAGGAGGCAGAGGAUGGUGCUCCUCGCUAG
rnacentral:rRNA from 1 species